rnacentral:lncRNA from 1 species
AACAGGAAAGCCAAAUUCCCACCAAGAAGGAUGGUUUAAGAAAUUAUAGCACAGUCAACCAUGGAUGAAGCCAUUACAAAGAUUGACACAGAGCUUGCCAGUUGAUUUGGAGGGAAUUCAAUGAGCAAAUGUGGAGUGAGAAAGCCAAAAUACAGAAAAGUAUGGAUGGCAUCCCAUUUUUAUAAGGGUUUGCACAGCUUUUAAUUGUAUACAUUAAAGAUAUGUUAUAUAUAAAAAAGAACAUUUUAAUAUAAAUGUGGUAUUAAUCCCAUGGUACAAGCAUUACUCUUUACUUUUAUAUGGGGAAACUGAGGGUCAGUGAGUUCAGUGGCUGCUCAGUCUACACAUCCACACAGCAGCUGCACAGGAGGAGCUGAGUUCCCAGACAUCCCAGCCUUCAUUUCUUUAAGUUCCCCACAUUAUUUAUUCCUGCACCUAUUUUCUUCCUCCUAAAGGGGGAGUAACUUUUCUUAGCAAAAAUGGAAAAGAGCAGUCACUUAUAGGAUUUUCUUCCAUCAGGAGAUAAAUUUCCUAAAACUUCUGAACUCUGGAAAGCACUUUAGUUCUUAACUCAGACCCACAGGGGCUGUGGCCUUCAUGAAAGGGAGUGUUUACAAGAAUAUUAUUAGUAAGAUGACCUCCCCACAACACCAUGGCAGAUAAAAGUAGGGUGAGCUGGAAAUUCUUCACCCGGAGCUUAUGGCUGCCCACCCCUUCUUGGAAUCCUUUGGAAAAUAGGACCCAUGCUUUGUGCUCCAUGUUUCAUGGCGUCAGUUAGCUCUCAGUGACCCUGGAGGUGGUGCGGCCAGCCAGCCAACUCUCCAGGAUGUGUUCUUUUUCCCGUGCAUGAUCUCAGAACCUGAUUAAGUGCGUCCAGAUUGAGGCGCCUGUAGAUGGGAAAGAAAUGCUUCUCAGGGUAGUCAGGCCCUUACAGCUCCAGUUCUUCUUUUCCUUGACUGUGAACUCUCUCCCCAGCCUAACCUUCACCUGGACUAUAAGUAUAAAAUGUAGGGCUUCUUUUUUUCCUUCUGACUUUCCUCCCCAGUAUUCUUGACCUGCAAACAUGAAGCUAAGGUCUGAGGCUGCUCUUC